rnacentral:rRNA from 1 species
UCUUCCGCAAUGGACGAAAGUCUGACGGAGCAACGCCGCGUGAGUGAUGAAGGUUUUCGGAUCGUAAAGCUCUGUUGUUAGGGAAGAACAAGUGCGAGAGUAACUGCUCGCACCUUGACGGUACCUAACCAGAAAGCCACGGCUAACUACGUGCCAGCAGCCGCGGUAAUACGUAGGUGGCAAGCGUUGUCCGGAAUUAUUGGGCGUAAAGGGCUCGCAGGCGGUUUCUUAAGUCUGAUGUGAAAGCCCCCGGCUCAACCGGGGAGGGUCAUUGGAAACUGGGAAACUUGAGUGCAGAAGAGGAGAGUGGAAUUCCACGUGUAGCGGUGAAAUGCGUAGAGAUGUGGAGGAACACCAGUGGCGAAGGCGACUCUCUGGUCUGUAACUGACGCUGAGGAGCGAAAGCGUGGGGAGCGAACAGGAUUAGAUACCCUGGUAGUCCACGCCGUAAACGAUGAGUGCUAAGUGUUAGGGGGUUUCCGCCCCUUAGUGCUGCAGCUAACGCAUUAAGCACUCCGCCUGGGGAGUACGGUCGCAAGACUGAAACUCAAAGGAAUUGACGGGGGCCCGCACAAGCGGUGGAGCAUGUGGUUUAAUUCGAAGCAACGCGAAGAACCUUACCAGGUCUUGACAUCCUCUGACAACCCUAGAGAUAGGGCUUUCCCUUCGGGGACAGAGUGACAGGUGGUGCAUGGUUGUCGUCAGCUCGUGUCGUGAGAUGUUGGGUUAAGUCCCGCAACGAGCGCAACCCUUGAUCUUAGUUGCCAGCAUUCAGUUGGGCACUCUAAGGUGACUGCCGGUGACAAACCGGAGGAAGGUGGGGAUGACGUCAAAUCAUCAUGCCCCUUAUGACCUGGGCUACACACGUGCUACAAUGGACAGAACAAAGGGCUGCAAGACCGCAAGGUUUAGCCAAUCCCAUAAAUCUGUUCUCAGUUCGGAUCGCAGUCUGCAACUCGACUGCGUGAAGCUGGAAUCGCUAGUAAUCGCGGAUCAGCAUGCCGCGGUGAAUACGUUCCCGGGCCUUGUACACACCGCCCGUCACACCACGAGAGUUUGCAACACCCGAAGUCGGUGAGGUAACCUUUAUGGAGCCAGCCGCCGAAGGU